CCCUUAGAUGUUCUGGGCUGCACGCGCGCUACACUGUCGGAUUCAGCGAGUCAUAUCCUUAACCGAAAGGUUUGGGUAAUCUUUUGAAAGUCCGACGUGAUGGGGAUUGAUCAUUGCAAUUAUUGAUCAUGAACGAGGAAUUCCUAGUAAGCGCGAGUCAUCAGCUCGCGUUGAUUACGUCCCUGCCCUUUGUACACACCGCCCGUCGUUACUACCGAUUGAAUGGUUUAGUGAGAUCUUCGGAUUGGCGCCUACGCGGCUUCUCUGAGGCCACGCUGGAUGCCGAAAAGUUGCUCAAACUGUAUCAUUUAGAGGAAGUAAAAGUCGUAACA
rnacentral:rRNA from 1 species